GGCAGCUGUUGGAGAGGGAUGGGUCAAGGGAUGGAGGGUAGCACUGUGAGCUGAAAUAGGAGGCAAGAAGAGAUUGAAGGGAAAUCUCAAGGGGCUCCAGAGACUACUACAAUGGUGCAAAGUCACAGAAGCCCUGGGAAAAGCAGGUAGAAUGGAGUUGCCAUGACACUGAGCCUCAUCUAGAUGCCAGGUAGGGAGCACGCAUUAUCACAGGUUCUCCUCUAAGCUACAGGCUGCAGUUGGUGUCAUCAACGAAAAAGAACAGUGUUAGAGCCUGGUGGUAAAUGACUGGACCAGAUACUUCCAACUGUCUGCAUUUUAGAGACUCGUGAGCACAGGCAUCUGUACUGACAUCACUUAAGCAGCUCUCAGAUUGUAACAGUGGACUGAAUCAGGAUUUCUAGGACUCUUUUUUUUUUUUUUGACAAUGAUGUCAUUUAUUUAAAAUGUUUACUCCAAGAAAUACAUAUAUAUAUAUAUAUAAAAAUAAGAAAAUUACAGCACUAAACCAGGCACCUUCGACCAAAUCACAACCUCCUGUUUGAUUCCCCUUCAUGCUAAGCCUCUUUCAGAUUCUUUUUCCUGAGCUGGAAGACCAGUUGGAUGCCCACAGGGUCAGCGCCAAGCACAUUCCCAGCCGGGCAACUGUGUACCUUUCUCUAGGAGUGCAUGACACCCUUCCCCCACAACUCCUUGUUUUAGAGGAUUUAACCCAUUAGGAAGCCCGUUUUUCAAUCUAAGCCAGAAGGAGGUGCGGGACAAGGCAGUCUUCACUUUGAAGGUCCCUUUCCUGCUCCAGUCCCUGGGCUGGGGUUCUAGAAGAGGCUGGCUGCCGGGUUUACAUGAGGCCACCGAAGAUCUAAGUCCUAGGACUCUUUUAAUCCACAAGCAGAUGACUUCAUGAAAGCAGAGAAUGCGGAUCCAAGAUCCAGUGGAACAAGAAUUUAUUUCACGGGACUGCAUGAGGUGCUGUGGGAAUUUCAUCGUAGUUAUUUCUUUAAACUCUUGUUAAUGUUGUUUCAGUGUUCUAUUUUCAGGCUCUAAGAGGAAACCUUUUCUCUUCUUUGGCUCUC